rnacentral:piRNA from 1 species
UGUCCCAUCAAUGCUGAAAAA